rnacentral:rRNA from 1 species
UACGGAAGGCGCAGUGGGGAAUAUUGCACAAUGGGCGAAAGCCUGAUGCAGCUAUGCCGCGUGUAUGAAGAAGGCCUUAGGGUUGUAAAGUACUUUCAUCGGGGAGGAAAAAACAAAACUAAUAAUUUUAUUUCUUGACGUUACCCGAAAAAGAAGCACCGGCUAACUCCGUGCCAGCAGCCGCGGUAAUACGGAGGGUGCUAGCGUUAAUCAGAAUUACUGGGCGUAAAGAGCACGUAGGUGGUUUUUUAAGUCAGAUGUGAAAUCCCUGGGCUUAACCUAGGAACUGCAUUUUGAAACUGAAAUACUAGAGUAUCGUAGAGGGAGGUAGAAUUCUAGGUGUAGCGGUGAAAUGCGUAGAUAUCUGGAGGAAUACCUGUGGCGAAAGCGGCCUCCUAAACGAAUACUGACACUGAGGGUGCGAAAGCGGUGGGGAGCAAACAGGGAUUAGAU